GUUGGCCGGAAGAAGGCGAUUGGGAGAAACACAAAGGCCCGAAAAUGGCCUACAAAACUCCCGGGAAGGUCUGAGAGCAAGCCCCCGUGAGAUCUAGGAGAUCUUCCCGUGUCCUAAUAGAGGGGAGGCUGUAGAAGAAGAGUUUCCCCCGCGUGGGUUUGGAAACGGCCUCGGCUAGCAAUUUUCAAGUCGCGCUAAGUGCGAUCGCCACACCAACACAAUUCAGACUAGUCUUCGGCCAAC
rnacentral:RNase_P_RNA from 1 species